UUAAUGUUACCGCGGACAUCGGUGUCAAUGCACAUCAUAGUGAUGUACUUUCCAAUAUGUAACACAUCCGAGACCUUGGAGACCUGAUGUCACUGUGCCUUUGUACACACCACCAACAACUAUUUCACGACCAAUGAUGAAGUCAACCUAAGGACAUGCAUAGGUCCGAUCAAGCUACGAAGUGCAUCGUUGGUGUACUUCAAAGUUGCUGCAAGACAGACGUAACUGUUUAGUUUGAAGAGAGGAAG